AAUUCCCGAUCUUGAAAGUCGCCACCAGAUGUCGACACUGUGCAACUGUGGUCGCAAAUCGCGCUCGAAAAAAAAAUAAUGUGUGAUAUCUUCACCGUGGUUUUCUGUCCGAUCAUCUUUCGCUCAUUUUUGUUCUGACCAGCGAUUUGGGCGCUUCGAAAAUAUUUUCGCUUAUCAUUUGCUCCGUAUGCAAUCCGUAAAAAUGUGAGGAAAUCGGCAAGCAAUCAAUAAUGGAUUAGUGGUUCACCGGAAGGAAGACCGCGCUCGCCCGUGGAGCAUGUGGUUGUCCUUCCCACCCGCGUGGUUGAUCGUCGACCUUUUGGGUUAGGCUCUCGCCUUAUAUAUCGGGAAGAUCCAAUGAGGGCCCAAAUAGAGGAUGCUGAAAUGCCUUCAAAAUUGUAGACAAGGUACUUUGUGUGUUCUGGAAAACUUCAUUCUGAUUUGAAUAAGAUUUUUUUUCGGAAUUCGCUUUGCCUUGAGAAUCUACGAUCUGCAGAGGUGUCGUAUGAGCAAAAUUAACAACGUUGAUGUGCAAAUAAAUUAAAAUUGAAAACGCUAA